rnacentral:tRNA from 2 species
GCUGGAGUAACUCAGUAGGUAGAGUACUUGCAUGGUAAGCAAGAAGUCGGCAGUUCAAGUCUGCUCUUCAGCU